rnacentral:rRNA from 1 species
AGUGAACGCUGGCGGUAGGCCUAACACAUGCAAGUCGAACGGCAGCACAGUAAGAGCUUGCUCUUACGGGUGGCGAGUGGCGGACGGGUGAGGAAUACAUCGGAAUCUACUUUUUCGUGGGGGAUAACGUAGGGAAACUUACGCUAAUACCGCAUACGACCUACGGGUGAAAGCAGGGGAUCUUCGGACCUUGCGCGAUUGAAUGAGCCGAUGUCGGAUUAGCUAGUUGGCGGGGUAAAGGCCCACCAAGGCGACGAUCCGUAGCUGGUCUGAGAGGAUGAUCAGCCACACUGGAACUGAGACACGGUCCAGACUCCUACGGGAGGCAGCAGUGGGGAAUAUUGGACAAUGGGCGAAAGCCUGAUCCAGCCAUACCGCGUGGGUGAAGAAGGCCUUCGGGUUGUAAAGCCCUGUUGUUGGGAAAGAAAAGCAGCAGGUUAAUACCCCGCUGUUCUGACGGUACCCAAAGAAUAGGCACCGGCUAACUUCGUG